GGAAAGCUCAAGGAGCUGCUUCUGAACCUUCCCAGCUGAAGGAGGGAGGACUUUCUAGAAAGGAUGAAAACCAUUUAAACUUUUGCCAGCAAACCAAUGAGACUGAGAUGGAGGGGGCCUAAAUCAGGAGGCUUUAUCAAAGAGAUGAUUUUGCAGUGCUGUGUUUCUCUCUCCCCUGAUGUGUCUCUGACAUCUCUCCAUCACCAGAAGAGAGGGGGCUGCACCUCUGAGCCUCCAAGGAAAAGACAUUUGAGACUCUAAAAGCUGAAACACCAGCAGAUGGAGACAAACCCUGUUAUCAGACCAGCCCAGUGGAGCAGGACCUGUAGGAUUUGCAGCUUUUCCAUGGGGAGCUGAGGUGGAAACCAAAAGGAAGAAUAUCUUUUAUGAAAUGCUGAGUGCUAUUGUUGUAUGCUCAUGUUUAAUCACAUGAACUUAAGGAGAAAAGAAGUUCUCUUAAAAAUAUCUCUUUGUACUAAAUGCAUUUUUGGCCUGAAAUAAAAUGUUCCAUUUGUUUUUGGUGGGUUACAUAUGCAUGGGGAUGUGUGUAUGCAUAAAUCCCUUUAGAAAUGUAAUAAUGCAAACAGUUUCAAAAAUUCAUUUCAGGUGAACAAUGAGAACAUCUUUAAAAAGGUUCAUACAAAUAUUCUUGCCUUUUUCUGAUUUUGUUUUUUUUUCUUCUAUGGAAGGUAAAUAGCAGCUGGGCUUGACACAAUAAACCUUUAGGCCUGACCACCCUAAAACUGUGUUUUCUGAUGACUGGGAUAGCUACUUGAAACAUUUUAAUCAGAUUGGAUUACAAUGGCUGUUCUCAAGUACAAUGGUAACCCAGACCUUCACAGGCAAGAUGAAGCACAAAAAAGUCGUAAGUUGGUCCAGAACCAUUUUGCUUCCAUGAAAUGCCAAAAGAAGAUGUUUCCUUGCUGUCUGUAUCAUCUUUUCUUCACUGGCCAGAGAGGUUG